AGUGAACGCUGGCGGCGUGCUUAACACAUGCAAGUCGAACGAGAACGGGUUAUAGCUUGCUAUAAUUGUCAGCUAAGUGGCGCACGGGUGAGUAAUGUAUAGGUAAUAUGCCUCUUACUAAGGGAUAACAAUUGGAAACGAUUGCUAAUACCUUAUACUCCUUAUUAACCUAAGUUAAUAAGGGAAAGAUUUAUUGGUAAGAGAUUAGCCUGUAUUGUAUCAGUUAGUUGGUGGGGUAAUGGCCUACCAAGACUAUAACACAUAACUGGUUUGAGAGGAUGAUCAGUCACACUGGAACUGAGACACGGUCCAGACUCCUACGGGAGGCAGCAGUGGGGAAUAUUGCACAAUGGACGAAAGUCUGAUGCAGCAACGCCGCGUGGAGGAUGACACAUUUCGGUGCGUAAACUCCUUUCAUAUGAGAAGAUAAUGACGGUAUUAUAUGAAUAAGCACCGGCUAACUCCGUGCCAGCAGCCGCGGUAA
rnacentral:rRNA from 1 species